UACAGAGGUCUCAAGCGUUGUUCGGAUUCAUUGGGCGUAAAGGGUGCGUAGGCGGCGCGGUAAGUCGGGUGUGAAAUCUUGGAGCUUAACUCCGAAACUGCAUUCGAUACUGCCGUGCUUGAGGACUGGAGAGGAGACUGGAAUUUACGGUGUAGCGGUGAAAUGCGUAGAUAUCGUAAGGAACACCAGUGGCGAAGGCGGGUCUCUGGACAGUUCCUGACGCUGAGGCACGAAGGCCAGGGGAGCAAACGGG
rnacentral:rRNA from 1 species